rnacentral:rRNA from 1 species
GAUGAACGCUAGCUACAGGCUUAACACAUGCAAGUCGAGGGGUAACGAGAGGAAAGCUUGCUUUCCUUGUCGACGACCGGCGCACGGGUGAGUAACGCGUAUCCAACCUGCCCCCAACUAGGGAAUAACCUUGCGAAAGUAAGACUAAUACCCUAUAAUUUCCUCAGAUGUCAUCUGACGAGGAAUAAAGAUUUAUCGGUUGUGGAUGGGGAUGCGUCUGAUUAGCUUGUUGGCGGGGUAACGGCCCACCAAGGCAACGAUCAGUAGGGGUUUUGAGGGGAAGGUCCACACCAGUGGAACUGAGACACGGACCAAACUCCUACGGGAGGCAGCAGUGAGGAAGAUUGGUCAAUUGGCGGAAGCCUGAACCAGCCAAGUAGCGUGCAGGAUGACGGCCCUAUGGGUUGUAAACUGCUUUUAUACAGGAAUAAAGUGAGCCACGUGUGGUUAUUUGUAGGUACUGUAUGAAUAAGGACCGGCUAAUUCCGUGCCAGCAGCCGCCGUAAUAC